rnacentral:rRNA from 1 species
CCUACGGAGGCAGCAGUGAGGGAAAUAUUGCGCAAAUGGGGGGAAACCCCUGACGCAGCAAACGCCGCGUGGGUGAAAGAAGGCCUUCGGGUCGUAAAGCCCUUUCGGACGGGACGAACGCUCCGCGGUGACAACCCGCGGAGUCUGACGGUACCGUAAGAAGAAGCACCGGCUAACUCCGUGCCAGCAGCCGCGGUAAUACGGAGGGUGCAAGCGUUGUUCGGAAUUACUGGGCGUAAAGCGCGUGUAGGCGGCCUUGCAAGCCAGACGUGAAAGCCCUCGGCUUAACCGGGGAAGUGCGUCUGGAACUGCUCGGCUCGAGUACGGGAGAGGGAGGCGGAAUUCCCAGUGUAGAGGUGAAAUUCGUAGAUAUUGGGAGGAACACCGGUGGCGAAAGCGGCCUCCUGGACCGAUACUGACGCUGAGACGCGAAAGCGUGGGGAGCAAACAGGAUUAGAUACCCUGGUAGUCCACGCGGUAAACGAUGGGCACUAGGUGUGGGGGGUAUCCACUCCUCCCGUGCCGCAGCUAACGCACUAAGUGCCCCGCCUGGGGAGUACGGCCGCAAGGUUAAAACUCAAAGGAAUUGACGG